rnacentral:rRNA from 1 species
UACAGAGGUCUCGAGCGUUAGGCGGAAUCACUGGGCUUAAAGCGUGUGUAGGUGGAUGCCUAAGUACCUUGUGAAAUCCCACGGCUUAACCGUGGAACUGCUUGGUAUACUGGGUGUCUUGAGUCACUCAGGGGCGAGCGGAACAAAUGGUGGAGCGGUGAAAUGCGUAGAUAUCAUUUGGAACGCCAAUGGUGAAAACAGCUCGCUGGGGGUGCACUGACACUGAGACACGAAAGCCCAGGGGAGCGAACGGG